UGCCACGCGUUAAGAAUAAUCUGGGGACUUCCGCUGCGGCGUGCCUGACGCUCUUCUGGUGCGCAUAACCCGCAGAGUUAUUCUUUUUUUUUUCUUGAGCGAGCUUGCCGGAAGUUGGAUUUGCUUGACAACAUCCGUCCACUCAGUUUGCAAAUGGCGUUCGAACAGCGGAGGGCGUCGGUCCCGAACCUUGCCUUCAGGGAUCAUCAGCGCAAGACGAAACGAGCAUUCGAGAAUCGACGGAUUCCAGCCGGCGUUUGUGUAAGGGGCUGAGCACUACCGGCCAUGGGCGGAACCAGACUGUCGACCGCGAGGCAUUCUCGUGGCACGUGCUUCGAACAACGCGAGGACAGACAGCCGGGCCAAGCUACAUUUGCCAGAAGACUAGGAUUUCCCCGUCGCUCAUGGUUCGAACAACAACUAGGGGACGAACAGCCGGGCCUAGUUCCGUUUCCCAGGAGGGAAGAUGAGUGCAUUCCUUUCUAUUCUUAGAAGCUGGGCAAUUACGCUCAGUGAAUUUUUUGGGUAGCAGCUAUGCGAUGUGUGCCUUUGGUUGAUUUAUGCUACCGAGAUGAAACAGAGCGCAUUCCUCUGUAAUUUUAAUCACGACCUUGUAGAUCAGCCUCGUUUCUAGCCAGUGGUUUUAGGUCACUGAAGCAUUCUUUGUUUUUCUUUAGCAAGCCCCCGGGUGAAUGUGCAUCGAUACAAGCCUUAACCGUAUCUGCAAUAUGUUGCAGUAUCAGCAUUCCGAGGUGCUGACUUCCGGCUUCAGCAUUCCGCCUUCAGCGAGGACUCAAUAGCUGUGCUGAGUCGACUCAAGCGCCUGUGUGGUGCAGCGUCCGCUGAACUGGGAGGCUGUGUUAUCCGGUGCCUCGUCUUCAGCCAUUCAUUACAGCGAGGGAUCUGGUUGAAAGCGCAUCGAAGCAACUACUGGGUACCCGUAUCUGGAAUAUUUCGCAGGUGUGUAAAUUUUUUUCCCUCCUAACUGAAAAACUCGGAUUGUCCAAUUGACUGAUAAGCAGCAGCACCCUAUCAAAUAGCUGGUCAAGCACUUCUCUGGCAUGAAUGUGAACUUUAAAAAAAUAACUUGUCGUGAAACAGGUGUCACGUAUACAAAUCAAACUUUCGAAGUUCUUUCGGUGACUAAACAAGAACUGGAUAGUUUAAAACGAGAGCGCGCUACUUCAAAUGCAGAAAAGGAACGAUGGGCAUAGUGAUUGCCAGCCCACAGAAAGGGCUUCGUGAACUAAAAUGAUGUGGAGACAAAUGCAAUCACACAGAACCAGAACGAAUUGCUGGUGGAAAUGGUUAGAGAAAGUGGGGACAGAGUAGUGGUCAGUAUUAUAUCGUCAGACAUUGACGUCGUUCGUCUGUAAACAAAAAAAAAAGCAACGUCAUCUUGAGGUUCAUAGACCAAACAAAGCGUGAAACCCUGGCAAUUGCAGCAAACAAAAAGCGUUUCAUGACCAUCGGAAUAGGAUUCUUUGAAAGUGAUGCCAUAUAUUUUCUCAACUAGCACUUUGGACGGAAAACAAAGCUCUGCUAGGUAUGGCCAUUGCAAAAAAGAAAGACAAGGACUGAAUAUUGGAGUGGGUCGCUGAGCCUAAAAUUCUUGCAGGGAAGGUAGAAAAAUUGGAGAGCUAUUCGCAUUGAAACGAUAGAAGACAUUUCAGGAACUGUGUGACGGAAUUACACGUGCCGCAUCCGACGUUAUAUUCAUUGUGUAUUUCGGCCCUCGAACAAGUCUGCUUGGUUUAACACUGGCUCCAUAUCAUGCAUUGUAACACCAAAAGAUUGCAAAGAAAUACCGAUUCAUUAUUGCCUUACUGACGCGGGUUUAAUGUCGCUACAACAUCGUAGCUCUAUCAGAAACUUGGUUAAAAGGAUGCGAAUUCUUAAGCAUGUCUAAUUACAGCCUUCUGUCCCUCCCAGUAAUUCCUGAAUCUAGCAGUGGUGCUAGACCCGUCAUAAUAAUAAAAUAUUAGAAACUGCAUGUCACUGAAUCGAGAACUGGCAACUACAAGACGCUUUUUGUACAACUCGAACACAUGCUUAUAAUUGGAGUGAUAUACAGGCCGUCAGACUCAACACUUUCGCCAUUCUUGUAUAAACUUGAAAGAAUCGUAGCAAAUAUCACAAACACGUGUAACAAGGUGAGCUUAUGUGGAAAUUGUGGAAUACCGAUCACCUCAAUAUAGCAUAUCAACAUGUCCUAUCGUGCUAUGGCUUUCAGAACCCCAUUGCUAACCCUACAAGAGUCCCAGCAAUCGCAUCAACUAUAAUUGAUCAUGUACGUUUCUAUCACAUAGAUAGCGUUAUAUCGGGAAUCAUUCUUGAAAGCAUAACAGGCCAUUUCUCGACCUAUAAACAUGUACCCUUAGAUAACUCUGACAUCAGCAUUCAAACAGCUCGCUUGGCAGAAAGGUGUGACUACAUACUAACUAGGAAACCAUUAGAACUGAAAUUGCUGAGAUCAAUCACGCCGAUGUCAGCGAAGCAUAUGAAAAAUUAUAUAAUCUAUUACUUUCCAGGUGUGUUAAACAAAAUGGAAGCUCACGUAGAGCCAGGUACUUCAUGAUUCUUAUAUAUCCAUGGAUGACGAACGUAAUAAUGUGAGCGAAUGAACAAAUACAACAUUGUCACAACCAACUGAAGCAAAAGAGAGACAGUGAUUAUUAUCGUGCUCGAGGCAAGAGAGCAAGCAAUGU